rnacentral:lncRNA from 1 species
GAAGCUUCAUGAGAUCUCUCCUGUCUGUGCACGGACGAGUGGCCGACUCUGGAGCCCAGGGUGUUGCUUCCCGGUCUGGUAGUGAAUCGUCCAUAGUCUGGUGGAAGACGGAAAGAGAAAACCAUAUGAAAAAAAGACACAAAUUUCUAAAAAAGCAUCCUGUCUUUGAAGAGUGGCAAAUACUAUUCUGUUUUUGAGUACAGAAAUAGAUCCAACUUGGAAUUAUAAAACAGAAUGGCACAAUAUAUUUAACUGACUUCCAUCUUCAAGCAAAGAGUUGUUCUCCAAAUGGCAAUUGGAAUUUGCAGCAACCUGAGUGAGGAGAGAGAUAAAUUGAAUAAUUGUUAGGCAAAAAUGAACCAGAACUUGAAGACUUGGAAAAUUACCAGCCUAUUUAUAUUGCAAAAUAAUACCAAAGAAUUUUGGGAAGAGAACAUCAAGGAUAUUGCUGGGCUACAAAGAUCUGCUAGAAAGAUUACAGUUACCAUGGUGCUGCAACUGGCUGAACAUGCUGUUACUAUGGAAACAACAGUGUAUUUCUCUGCAUCUCAUACAUUUUGGUACAUUCUUCAGAUCUUUUCUUCACAUGUGCAUUUAUUUUCAUAUGACAAAUAUGUAAUUAAAAGUUCUAUAGUUCUUGAGCAAUUAGGGCAACUUAGACAAUAUUUUCAUACUUACAGAACAAUUGAAAAUUAAUGACAGAAUAUACACAAUAUU